rnacentral:rRNA from 2 species
GUGGUAAUGCCGGAUGCUCCGACUCCUCGCAUGGGGUGUCGGGAAAGAUUUCAUCGGUAUGGGAUGGGGUCGCGUCCUAUCAGGUAGUCGGCGGGGUAACGGCCCACCGAGCCUACGACGGGUAGCCGGCCUGAGAGGGCGACCGGCCACAUUGGGACUGAGAUACGGCCCAGACUCCUACGGGAGGCAGCAGUGGGGAAUAUUGCACAAUGGGCGCAAGCCUGAUGCAGCGACGCCGCGUGCGGGAUGACGGCCUUCGGGUUGUAAACCGCUUUUGAUCGGGAGCAAGCCUUCGGGUGAGUGUACCUUUCGAAUAAGCACCGGCUAACUACGUGCCAGCAGCCGCGGUAAUACGUAGGGUGCAAGCGUUAUCCGGAAUUAUUGGGCGUAAAGGGCUCGUAGGCGGUUCGUCGCGUCCGGUGUGAAAGUCCAUCGCUUAACGGUGGAUCUGCGCCGGGUACGGGCGGGCUGGAGUGCGGUAGGGGAGACUGGAAUUCCCGGUGUAACGGUGGAAUGUGUAGAUAUC